CAGUAGCCGCGGGAAUACGUAGGUGGCAAGCGUUGUCCGGAAUUAUUGGGCGUAAAGGGCUCGCAGGCGGUUUCUUAAGUCCGAUGUGAAAGCCCCCGGCUCAACCGGGGAGGGUCAUUGGAAACUGGGAAACUUGAGUGCAGAAGAGGAGAGUGGAAUUCCACGUGUAGCGGUGAAAUGCGUAGAGAUGUGGAGGAACACCAGUGGCGAAGGCGACCCUCUGGUCUGUAACUGACGCUGAGGAGCGAAAGCGUGGGGAGCGAACAGGAUUAGAUACCCGUGUAGUCCCUGUCUCUUAUAC
rnacentral:rRNA from 1 species